rnacentral:rRNA from 1 species
GAUGAACGCUGGCGGCGUGCCUAAUACAUGCAAGUCGAGCGAACGGACGAGAAGCUUGCUUUUCUGAUGUUAGCGGCGGACGGGUGAGUAACACGUGGAUAACCUACCUAUAAGACUGGGAUAACUUCGGGAAACCGGAGCUAAUACCGGAUAAUAUUUUGAACCGCAUGGUUCAAAAGUGAAAGACGGUCUUGCUGUCACUUAUAGAUGGAUCCGCGCUGCAUUAGCUAGUUGGUAAGGUAACGGCUUACAAAGGCAACGAUGCAUAGCCGACCUGAGAGGGUGAUCGGCCACACUGGAACUGAGACACGGUCCAGACUCCUACGGGAGGCAGCAGUAGGGAAUCUUCCGCAAUGGGCGAAAGCCUGACGGAGCAACGCCGCGUGAGUGAUGAAGGUCUUCGGAUCGUAAAACUCUGUUAUUAGGGAAGAACAUAUGUGUAAGUAACUGUGCACAUCUUGACGGUACCUAAUCAGAAAGCCACGGCUAACUACGUG